rnacentral:rRNA from 1 species
UACGUAGGGUGCGAGCGUUGUCCGGAAUUACUGGGCGUAAAGAGCUCGUAGGUGGCUUGUCGCGUUGUUCGUGAAAACUCACAGCUCAACUGUGGGCGUGCGGGCGAUACGGGCAGACUGGAGUACUGCAGGGGAGACUGGAAUUCCUGGUGUAGCGGUGAAAUGCGCAGAUAUCAGGAGGAACACCGGUGGCGAAGGCGGGUCUCUGGGCCGAUACUGACGCUGAGGAGCGAAAGCGUGGGGAGCAAACAGG